CUCAUAUGCUUCAACAUCACUGGAAAGGCUGGAGAAAGCAAAACACAUAGCAACAAGUCGAACAGCGAACAAUGGAGAGCAGUGAAGAAGAGGACGAUCUCCCACUCAUAGAGAGCAUCACUUCCCAGUCCAAAGUCGACUUUCUUAACCAAUCCCACGCCGAAAAGGGAAUUAUAACCUAUACAUACUCGUAUAUAUCUCCCGCUUUUGCUGUGACAUGCGCUCAGAACUGGAGCCUGGAGCCUCAAGUCUGAAGCCUGAAGAGAGCAAAGCUAAAGCAGUCUUAAAAUGGAGAGUAGUGAAGGAGAAGAGGUUUCCUAUCAUUAAAGGCAUCACUCCCCUGUCCAAAGUUGACUCUUUUUACCAAUCCCACACCGAAAAGGUUUGCUCCAUCCCCUGAUCCAUCACUAAGUAUUGAGUUUUAUGAGCAAACUCCAGAGCAACAAUCAGUGUUAGGGUAUGUUGUUGACUCCUCACAAACAGGACAUGCUCAUGAUGUAGCAUCAACGAAUCC